GAUGAACGCUGGCGGCGUGCCUAAUACAUGCAAGUCGAGCGAACAGAUGAGGAUCUUGCUCCUCUGACGUUAGCGGCGGACGGGUGAGUAACACGUGGAUAACCUACCUAUAAGACUGGGAUAACUUCGGGAAACCGGAGCUAAUACCGGAUAAUAUAUUGAACCGCAUUGUUCAAUAGUGAAAUACGGUUUUUCUUUCACUUAUAGAUGGAUCCUCGCCGCAUUAGCUAGUUGGUAAGGUAACGGCUUACCAAGGCAACGAUGCGUAGCCGACCUGAGAGGGUGAUCGGCCAAACUGGAACUGAGACACGGUCAAGACUCCUACGGGAGGCAGCAGUAGGGAAUCUUCCGCAAUGGGCGAAAGCAUGACGGAGCAACGCCGCGUGAGUGAUGAAGGUCUUCGGAUCGUAAAACUCUGCUAUUAGGGAAGAACAAAUGUGUAAGUAAAUAUGCACGUCUUGACGGUACCUAAUCAGAAAGCAACGGCUAACUACGUG
rnacentral:rRNA from 1 species